AUGAAUAACAAAUAAAUGUGAGAGAUAAAGGAGAAAAUGUGACCAUCAAAAUAUUGGAGAAUCAACACAACACAACUAAGAAUCGAACCCAGGAUCAAAGAGAAAGAGGAAUAUCCACAUCUCCACCAGGCCAAGACCUAUUUACUGCUAGAUUAAGACCGACAAAAAGCUAAUGUUCUAACUGAAAACUCCCCAGGAAAAAAACGAGAAAGGCCAAACAUGGGCUAAGCUGUUUAAAGGCCCACGAACCUAAGUCUCAACUUGGGUAGUUGAGGCCCACUUCAACAAAGUCCAAGGGCGAAAAUGGCAGGGAAGCACAACGGUCCCAUUGUGUUCCAAGGUGGGGGCGGUCAUCAAUGCAGGAGAGAAAAAAAAACGGAAAGUUCACCUUUGGGGAAGUGGAAAGGAGAAAACCCAGUAAUGACCAUCAAAAUAGCUUCGUUGGAAAACGAAGAGUGAACCUAAACGGUGAAAAUGCCGACAAAAAACAAUCUUUCCCCAAAACCUCUCCCUAUCCACCUUCGUCCUUCUCCCCAAGAAUCCCUCUCCUUCUACCUAUCUCAGCUUACAACUACCCUCAUCAAACUUAACACUAGUAACCAACCUAGGUAUCAUGACGAAACCCAACACACAGAGGACAAAUCAAAUCCCAAAACUUAUGUCUACGCAUUUGGUUAAGGAAAAGCGAAAAAAAAAAAAGGGAAAAGAUGUACCAGAUUAAAAUAUCUCAGAGAUGAACGAACAGGUAUUCGAGCGCCUCUCUGCUUUCUUCUCCCGAAUCAACCUUUUACUGCUUUCCGCUGCUGCUUCCUUCUUCGUAAAUUUUAGGGUUUUUCUUUUUGGUAGUCCACUUCUCCGUUUUUCGUUCGGCCGCCUAGCUUUUAGGGUUUUUUUCCGCCUCUCCUCUCUGAUUCCUUUUUCUCUCUAUUUAUCUUCCACGCAUCCUAGGGUUUGGAGAUCCAAAAGAGGUCUCUGCCAAGGCCUUUCUGCGCUCAGAAAUUGGAGUGGUCUUUUUGGUGUAUGGUUCGAAAAAUGUGAAAUUGGCUUGGUUUGAUUUCAAAAUCUGAAGGGUGGUUAAUUGAUUCUUGGAGCUGCCACAGUGUUUCAGAGAACCAUUGGCCAUGAUAGCUAUCCGGUCACCUAGUUCAUCUGCUUCGUCCAUGGAAUGUGUUGCUCGUCAAGAAUUAUAACCUUACUGUUUCCAAUAAUUGUCUUGAGUUUAUCCAGCAGGGCCAAUUGGCAACAAAUGAGGUUUGCCUUUUGACUUGGUGUGGUGCGGAAGAGUUCUUAGCUUGGAUCAAUGGAAUAUUGUUGCCCUGGUCAUCUGGUGUAGUAGGUUGAUUUCGUGUGCACUUUUUGGAUUUGAGAAAAAAAACAAAUGCUGCCAUGUACCCAAUUUUGUGAGAUGGAGAACUAAUUGCAAUGAUUUUCAAUGGCCUCUAAAAAUGUCUUAGAUCC